GAGUUUGAUCAUGGCUCAGGACGAACGCUGGCGGCGUGCUUAACACAUGCAAGUCACGGGGGCCCGCAAGGGCAACCGGCGAACGGGUGCGUAACACGUGAGCAAGCUUCCGAUUUGUGGGGGAUAGCCGGCCUAACGGCCGGGUAAUACCGCAUACGUUCACUGGGCGGCAUCGUCUGGUGAGGAAACCUCCGGGGCAAAUCGAGGCGCUCGCGGCCUAUCAGCUAGUUGGCGGGGUAGUGGCCCACCAAGGCGACGACGGGUAGCUGGUCUGAGAGGAUGGCCAGCCACAUUGGGACUGCGACACGGCCCAGACUCCUACGGGAGGCAGCAGUGGGGAAUAUUGCGCAAUGGACGAAAGUCUGACGCAGCGACGCCGCGUGUGGGAUGAAGCUCUUCGGGGUGUAAACCACUGUUGCCCGGGACGAAAUGCCCUUUCGAGGGAAUUGACGGUACCGGGUGAGGAAGCACCGGCUAACUCUGUGCCAGCAGCCGCCGUAAG
rnacentral:rRNA from 2 species